AACGUAGGGGACAAGCGUUAUCCGGAUUUACUGGGCGUAAAGCGCCCGUAGGCGGCCUGACAAGUUGGACGUGAAAGCUCCUGGCUUAACUGGGAGAGGCCGUUCAAAACUGUCAAGCUAGAGUCUGGAAGAGGAGAGCGGAAUUCCCGGUGUAGUGGUGGAAUGCGUAGAGAUGCGGAGGAACACCAGUGGCGAAAGCGACUUUCUGGUCCUUAACUGACGCUGAGGCGCGAAAGCAUGGGGAGCGAACGGG
rnacentral:rRNA from 1 species